rnacentral:rRNA from 1 species
GUUAAAGGUUAAAAGGAAGGGUAAGUUUGAUUCUUGCUUGAUCAUUGGUUAUUAAUAUGUUUUAUAUGUAAAGUUUCUCUUAAUGGUUUAAUUUUUGAAUUUGCAAUAUUUUUAAUUGAAUAUCAAGGGGUCUUGGAUUUGGUAAUAUUUUUUUGUAUUGGUUAAUUUUGUGCCAGCAACCGCGGUUAUACAUUAGAUACUAAUCAAUGAUUUUCAUUUUGUAGUUCUUGAAUUUUUAGGGAUUUGUUUUAUUUUUUUAGGUGGAAUUAGAAUUUUAUUUUUUGUUUGGUAAGCUACGAAGCUCUUUAUUUAGACUAGGAUUAGAUACCCUAUUAUUUUGAGUGUAAAAUUUAUUUUGAGUAGUAUUAGUUAUGUUCUUGAAACUUAAAGAAUUUGGCGGUAUUUUAGUCCAUUUAGAGGAACCUGUCUUGUAAUCGAUAUUCCACGUUGAACCUUUCUUUGAUUAUCUUUGUAUACCUCCGUUAUGAGAAGAUUUUUAUAGGAUUAUAAUUUUCUUUAUUUUUUAUGAAAUUUUAUUUCAGGUCAAGGUGCAGGUUAUAUCUAAGUUUUGAUGGGUUACAUUGUUUUCUAUUUUUUUUUGGUUUUAUUUUGUAAAGUUUAGGUAAAUUGGAUUUAAUUGUAAUUUUAUAUAGAUUAUUAUUUUGGAAUGGCUCUAUAAUAUGUACACAUCGCCCGUCACUCUCGUUUAUUUUAUGAGAAAAGUCGUAACAUAGUGGUCGUACCGGAAGGUGUGGCUGGGAUUAAU